rnacentral:misc_RNA from 1 species
CAAGAACAUGUCCUGCCAAUGAUCACAAUUCGAUUUUUUUUUCUUAACAAUCAUUUAUUUUGUAACAAAGCAAUGUAUUAUUUAAUGAUAACAAAGCAAAUUAUUUAACCUAUACAUUUCUUUUACAAGCACAAAAAUGAUCAAUUCUGUGCUUUCCCAUCACCUUCAGUAAUAGCAUCCUUGAAAGAAAGACCACUUGGGAUCAUUGGCAGGACAUGUUCUUGAUGCGGUACAAUCACAUCAAGCAAAUAAGGCCCUGGAGUCUCCAACAUUUUCUUGAUAGCCUCCUUAAGCUUACUUUUCUUUGUGACUCUCG